GAUCCUGGCUCAGGAUGAACGCUAGCUACAGGCUUAACACAUGCAAGUCGAGGGGCAUCAUGGAGUUUGCUUGCAAACUCUGAUGGCGACCGGCGCACGGGUGAGUAACGCGUAUCCAACCUUCCCUAUAGUAGAGGAUAGCCCGGCGAAAGUAGGAUUAAUACUCUAUGUUUUCCGUUGCAGACAUCUAAGAUGGAACAAAGGCUUGCCGCUAUAGGAUGGGGAUGCGUCUGAUUAGGUAGUCGGCGGGGUAACGGCCCACCGAGCCUUCGAUCAGUAGGGGUUCUGAGAGGAAGGUCCCCCACAUUGGAACUGAGACACGGUCCAAACUCCUACGGGAGGCAGCAGUGAGGAAUAUUGGUCAAUGGGCGCGAGCCUGAACCAGCCAAGUAGCCGUGCAGGAUGACGGCCCUAUGGGUUGUAAACUGCUUUUAUGCGGGGAUAAAGUUCACUACGUGUAGUGUUUUGUAGGUACCGCAUGAAUAAGGACCGGCUAAUUCCGUGCCAGCCGCCGC
rnacentral:rRNA from 1 species